rnacentral:rRNA from 1 species
AUGGCGGCGGGAGCCCUCUUCCUCGCCUGCUUCCGCGGCGGCGGCGGCGGUGGCGGCGAGGGGAGCGGCGGCCGCCUGGCGCUGCGCCCGCGGUACGCGCCCGUGCCGCGGCGCACCAAGGCGGCCGCGGUCGCCGGCGAUCUGGAGGCCGCCGCGGGGGCCGCCGAGGAGGAGGAGGAGGAGAAGGUGGUGUUGUUCGCGGUGACCGGCAUGACCUGCGCCGCGUGCGCCGGGUCGGUGGAGAAGGCCGUCAAGCGGCUCCCCGGCAUCCACGACGCCGCCGUCGACGUCCUCGGCUGCCGCGCGCAGGUCGCCUUCUACCCGGCAUUCGUCUCGGAGGAAAAAAUUAGGGAAACCAUUGAAGAUGUUGGUUUCGGAGCUAAACUGAUCGACGAGGAGCUUAAGGAAAAGAGCAUUCUAGUAUGCAGGCUGCACAUAAAAGGAAUGACCUGCACGUCUUGUGCAAAUACAGUUGAAUCCGCCUUGCAAGCUGUUCCAGGGGUUCAGAGAGCUUCCGUUGCAUUGGCUAUUGAAGAGGCGGAAAUCCGUUAUAAUCGGAGGGUUGUUGCUGCUAUCCAACUAGUCAAUGCAGUUGAAGAAUCUGGCUUUGAAGCAAUACUGGUCACCGCAGGAGAAGAUCGGAGCAGGAUAGACCUCAAAGUUGAUGGCAUUCUCAAUGAGAGAUCAGUAAUGAUAGUGAAAAGUUCUGUCCAAGCUCUUCCUGGUGUGGAAGACAUAAAAAUUGAUACCGAGCUCCAAAAGAUAACCAUCUCUUACAAGCCUGACCAAACAGGUCCACGAGACCUCAUUGAAGUCAUCGAGUCAGCUGGAUCUGGUCAUAUUGCUGUAUCAAUAUAUCCGGAAGCCGAUGGAAGAGAGCAGCAUAGAAAUGGGGAGAUCACGCGGUACAGGCAGUCCUUUUUGUGGAGCUUACUGUUCACAAUUCCAGUGUUCCUAACCUCCAUGGUGUUCAUGUACAUCCCAGGGCUGAAGGAGGGGCUGGACAAAAAGGUUGUCAACAUGAUGAGCAUUGGUGAACUAUUGCGGUGGAUUUUGUCAACUCCUGUCCAGUUUGUAAUUGGCCGCAAAUUUUACACUGGUUCUUACAAGGCAAUGUGUCAUGGCUCACCGAACAUGGAUGUGCUCAUUGCUCUGGGGACCAACACAGCGUACUUCUACUCAGUUUACUCGGUUCUCCGAGCUGCCACUUCUGAGAAUUAUAUGUCAACUGAUUUUUUUGAGACAAGUUCCAUGCUCAUAUCAUUUAUCCUUCUUGGAAAAUACCUCGAGAUCUUGGCAAAAGGAAAGACCUCUGAGGCUAUUGCCAAGCUGAUGGAUCUUGCACCAGAAACUGCAACUGUGCUGAUAUACGACAGCGAAGGGAAUGUUGUAAGCGAGAAAGAGAUCGACAGUCGGUUGAUUCAGAAAAAUGAUGUGAUCAAAGUCAUACCUGGUGGAAAAGUUGCUUCCGAUGGAUUUGUUAUUUGGGGCCAGAGCCAUGUGAAUGAAAGCAUGAUCACCGGAGAAUCACGGCCCGUGGCAAAGAGGAAGGGCGACACUGUGAUUGGAGGGACGGUGAACGAGAAUGGUGUCCUCCAUGUCAGGGCAACAUUUGUUGGAUCUGAGAGCGCCCUGGCACAGAUUGUAAGACUGGUAGAGUCAGCCCAAAUGGCAAAAGCUCCUGUACAGAAGUUUGCUGAUCAAAUCUCUAAAGUCUUUGUCCCCCUGGUCAUCCUUCUUUCUUUGCUUACUUGGCUUACAUGGUUCUUAGCUGGGAGGUUUCAUGGCUACCCUAGCUCGUGGAUACCAUCUUCCAUGGAUAGCUUUCAGCUAGCUCUUCAGUUUGGGAUAUCGGUUAUGGUGAUCGCCUGCCCUUGUGCACUGGGACUUGCAACUCCAACUGCUGUGAUGGUUGCAACUGGAGUCGGUGCCUCGCAAGGUGUUCUGAUCAAGGGCGGGCAAGCUCUGGAGAGUGCGCAGAAGGUGGACUGCAUUGUUUUCGACAAGACAGGAACACUAACCAUUGGAAAGCCUAUUGUCGUCAAUACCAGGCUCUUUAAAAACAUGGUCCUACGUGAAUUCUAUGACUAUGUUGCAGCAGCAGAGGUCAACAGUGAGCAUCCGCUAGCAAAAGCCGUAGUGGAGCAUGCCAAGAACUUUCACUCGGAAGAAACCCAUAUCUGGCCUGAAGCAAGGGAUUUCAUUUCAGUCACCGGACACGGUGUCAAGGCAAAGAUCAGCGACAGCAGUGUCAUUGUGGGCAACAAGAGCUUUAUGCUGUCGUUAGACAUUGAUGUCCCCGUGGAAGCUUCAGAGAUCCUCAUGGAAGAGGAAGAGAAGGCACACACAGGGAUCAUCGUGGCCAUGGAUCAAGAAAUAGUCGGCAUAAUCUCUGUGUCUGAUCCGAUAAAACCGAACGCCCAUGAAGUGAUAUCAUACCUCAAGUCAAUGAAGGUGGAGUGCAUAAUGGUGACCGGGGACAACUGGGGAACCGCCAACGCCAUCGGCAAAGAGGUUGGCAUCGAAAACAUCAUAGCCGAAGCGAAACCAGAGCAGAAGGCUGAGAAGGUGAAGGAGCUUCAGGAUACAGCCACGCAUCCACUCACCGCCUUUAAAUCUUUUGAUCGAUCACUGCAGCUGUCUGGCAAAACCGUCGCAAUGGUUGGCGACGGGAUCAACGACUCGCCGGCGCUGGUGGCGGCCAACGUCGGGAUGGCCAUCGGCGCGGGCACGGACGUGGCCAUCGAGGCGGCGGACAUCGUGCUCAUGAAGAGCAACCUGGAGGACGUGAUCACGGCCAUCGACCUGUCCAGGAAGGCCUUCUUCCGCAUACGGAUGAACUACGUGUGGGCCCUGGGAUACAACAUCAUCGGCAUCCCGAUCGCCGCGGGCGUGCUGUUCCCGUCGACCCGGUUCCGGCUGCCGCCGUGGGUCGCCGGCGCCGCCAUGGCCGCGUCCUCCGUCAGCGUCGUCUGCUGGUCCCUCCUGCUGAGGUACUACAAGAGGCCGUUGAUCACACAGGAGCGGCAGGCAUAG